rnacentral:rRNA from 1 species
AAUGAACGCUGGCGGCGUGCCUAAUACAUGCAAGUCGAACGACCGGACGGGAAGCUUUCUCCCCUGAUGUUAGCGGCUGACGGGUGGGUAACGCAUGGAUCACCUACCUAUUAUACUGGGGUAACUUCGGGAGACCACAUAUAAUACCGGCUAAUAUUUUGUACCGCAUGGUUCAAGAGUGCAUCACGGUCUUCCCGUCACAUAUAGAUGGUUCCGUGUUGCAUUAGCUAGUUGGUAAGGUAACGGCUUACCAAGGCAACGAUGCGUAGCUGACCUGAGAGGAUGAUCAGCCACACUGGAACUGAGACACGGUCCAGACUCCUACGGGAGGCAGCAGUGGGGAAUCUUGCGCAAUGGGCGAAAGCCUGACGGAGCAAUACCGCGUGAGUGAUGAAGGUCUUCGGGUCGUAAAGCCCUGUUAUUGGGGAAGAAAAGAAGUGGGAGAAACUGUGCAUAUCUUGACGGUACCCAAAGAAAAAGCAACGGCUAACUACGUG